rnacentral:misc_RNA from 1 species
UGUAUAGGGGAUCAGCUCCCACAUAUGUACUGUUUGAACAGUGUUGGGUGUGUGAAUGCUCCAAAUUGCCUUUUUGCUGUUAUGAUGUGAUGCAUAUAAAAAUUUUGAGAGUGUUGCAUUCCACUUUUUAGGAUGCAUUAGCUUUAGAUAGCAAUAGAAAUUAUGGUUAAAAUUAGUAUUUUACUAUCUGAGUUGAACGCUCAUUCCUGUUCACCUAUUUUUCCAUGCUACAGGAGGAGUUCUUUU